CCUACGGGAUGCAGCAGUGGGGAAUAUUGGGCAAUGGGCGCAAGCCUGAACCAGCAACGCCGCGGGAAGGAAGAAGGCUUUAGGGUUGUAAACUUCUUUUAAGAGGGAAGAGAAGAAGACGGUACCUCUUGAAUAAGCCACGGCUAACUACGGGCCAGCAGCUGCGGUAAUACGUAGGUGGCAAGCGUUGCCCGGAUUUACUGGGUGUAAAGGGCGUGCAGCCGGGAAGGCAAGUAAGAUGUGAAAUCCCGCGGCUCAACCGCGGAACUGCAUUUGAAACUGUUUUUCUUGAGUACCGGAGAGGUCAUCGGAAUUCCUUGUGUAGCGGUGAAAUGCGUAGAUAUAAGGAAGAACACCGAUGGCGAAGGCGGAUGACUGGACGGCAACUGACGGUGAGGCGCGAAAGCGUGGGGAGCAAACAGGAUUAGAUACCCGGGUAGUC
rnacentral:rRNA from 1 species